AGCGAACGUUAGCGGCGGGCCUAACACAUGCAAGUCGAACGCGAAAGGUCUUCGGACUGAGUAGAGUGGCGCACGGGUGAGUAACACGUAGGUAAUCUACCCUUUGGCGGGGAGUAACGUUCCGAAAGGAGCGCUAAUACCGCAUAAGACCACGGAGUCUCCGGACGCUGUGGGAAAAGGUAGGCCUCUUCUUGAAAGCUACCACCGAAGGAUGAGCCUGCGUCCCAUCAGCUAGUUGGUAAGGUAAUGGCUUACCAAGGCGAAGACGGGUAGCUGGUUUGAGAGAAUGAUCAGCCACACUGGCACUGGAACACGGGCCAGACUCCUACGGGAGGCAGCAGUGAGGAAUAUUGGGCAAUGGGCGAAAGCCUGACCAGCACGCCGCGUGAGUGAUGAAGGCCCUCGGGUC
rnacentral:rRNA from 1 species